UUUUUACAAACACUCAAAAAAAAAAACAAAGAGAAAUCUAAAAUUCUCUCAGAGCUCCGGUCUAGGGCCAUCACUGCUCGUCUUUGAGCUCUGCCGCGCGUGGUCUUUACGCGCCGACGCGCCAUCUUAAGGACCACCGUACACGGUGGCUAAGGUUCGAAAAACCCUUCCUUUCCCUCGCCAAUAGUCAGGUAACUUCUUUCCCUUUCUAUUUUCUUUAGUUUUUUGUUUAAAAAAAAUGGAAGAUUUGUAUAUGUAUGAAAGAAAAUACGCAGGUAAGUAAAGAAAAUAACAGUCUGUUUACCUUCUCAACUGAAACUGCUUUUUUAUUUAUAUAUGUGUUUCGAAAAGUUUACACCCGUUCGCUUUUCUGUGUUUCUUUUUGCUUUUUUUUUUGUUUCUGUAUGUAUUCUCUCUGCUAUUGUAUAUCUAUGUAAAAAACCUCCCUCUUUACAGAUUUGCGAAAGGCUUUAUAGCCUUAAACUACUACCUAUUUUGGAAAGAAAUCGAAGGAUUUCUUUCCAUUUCCUGUUCUAGUAUAUCUGCUACCUUUUUUGCUUUGAUUUCUUUCCUUUUUCUUGCAAGUAACUUGCGAGGAUCUCGAUGGUGACCGUGCUGGGCACGACACAAUGCUGAAGUCACGACCCACUGGUGGAGGCGUGAUCGGUGGCCGAGCUGGUGUGUCGAAGGGCCUCGAGAUAGUGCCUUGAUGGUGGCCUUGAUUUCGGGAAUUGGACAGACGCUCCCCGAAUAUUCUAGAAGCAAUUGUGGCGCGAUAAUGUUCAGGAAACCCUAGGGUUUCUUAUUCCUCUUAAGUCAUUUGGGCCUUUUGGGCUGCUGAUGUAUACGGGUCAAGGGUGUAAAGGGGCUUACUGAGUAAUGUUUGAGUUGGGUCGGCUAUUGUGGGUUAGGUCGGGUUUGAGGGUGUAAUUUGGGUCAUACAGGUAGUGCUUUUUGGUUUUAAGUUUUGGGCCGGUAGUGUUUGGGCUUUGUAACCUGGACUUGGACUGUUUAAUAAAUAAUUAUUUAUUUAUCUAUUUUCAUUUGGUCUUAAGGCCCGGUUAAAUUUGGGCUAUUACAUUGGCAUGAUAAUGUUUUGGUUGUAACUAGCUAUUGAAAUGGCUAAUGUUAAGCAUAUUUUGAUGUAGUUAUAUAAGGCCUUAUUAUGCUUGAUGUAUGUAUUGAAAUGGUUGAAUGGUGGAAGUUACAUAAAUAUAUUAAUAGUUGCAUGAAUGGGUAAAAUGUACUUAUAUGUUUAUAUGGUCAUUUAGGUAAGAUGAAAUAUUUGGAUAAAUG
rnacentral:lncRNA from 1 species